rnacentral:rRNA from 1 species
GACGAACGCUGGCGGCGUGCUUAACACAUGCAAGUCGAACGGAAAGGCCCUGCUUUUGUGGGGUGCUCGAGUGGCGAACGGGUGAGUAACACGUGAGUAACCUGCCCUUGACUUUGGGAUAACUUCAGGAAACUGGGGCUAAUACCGGAUAGGAGCUCCUGCUGCAUGGUGGGGGUUGGAAAGUUUCGGCGGUUGGGGAUGGAUUCGCGGCUUUUCAGCUUGUUGGUGGGGUAGUGGCUUACCAAGGCUUUGAGGGGUAGCCGGCCUGAGAGGGUGACCGGCCACAUUGGGACUGAGAUACGGCCCAGACUCCUACGGGAGGCAGCAGUGGGGAAUAUUGCACAAUGGGCGGAAGCCUGAUGCAGCAACGCCGCGUGCGGGAUGACGGCCUUCGGGUUGUAAACCGCUUUCGCCUGUGACGAAGCGUGAGUGACGGUAAUGGGUAAAGAAGCACCGGCUAACUACGUG